rnacentral:rRNA from 1 species
GACGAACGCUGGCGGCGUGCUUAACACAUGCAAGUCGAACGGAAAGGCCCUGCUUUUGUGGGGUGCUCGAGUGGCGAACGGGUGAGUAACACGUGAGUAACCUGCCCUUGACUUUGGGAUAACUUCAGGAAACUGGGGCUAAUACCGGAUAGGAGCUCCUGCUGCAUGGUGGGGGUUGGAAAGUUUCGGCGGUUGGGGAUGGACUCGCGGCUUAUCAGCUUGUUGGUGGGGUAGUGGCUUACCAAGGCUUUGACGGGUAGCCGGCCUGAGAGGGUGACCGGGGACAUUGCGCCUAAGAUACGGCGCAGACGCCUACGGGAGGCAGCAGUGGGGAAUAUUGCACAGUGGGCGGGAGCCUGAUGCAGCAACGCCGCGUUCGGGAUGACGGCCUUCGGGUUGUAAACCGCUUUCGCCUGUGACGAAGCGUGAGUGACGGUAAUGGGUAAAGAAGCACCGGCUAACUACGUG